rnacentral:rRNA from 1 species
AACGAACGCUGGCGGCAGGCCUAACACAUGCAAGUCGAACGCCGUAGCAAUACGGAGUGGCAGACGGGUGAGUAACACGUGGGAACGUACCUUUCGGUUCGGAAUAACUCAGGGAAACUUGAGCUAAUACCGGAUACGUGCGAGAGCAGAAAGAUUUAUCGCCGAAAGAUCGGCCCGCGUCCGAUUAGCUAGUUGGUGAGGUAAUGGCUCACCAAGGCGACGAUCGGUAGCUGGUCUGAGAGGAUGAUCAGCCACAUUGGGACUGAGACACGGCCCAAACUCCUACGGGAGGCAGCAGUGGGGAAUAUUGGACAAUGGGCGCAAGCCUGAUCCAGCCAUGCCGCGUGAGUGAUGAAGGCCCUAGGGUUGUAAAGCUCUUUUGUCCGGGAAGAUAAUGACUGUACCGGAAGAAUAAGCCCCGGCUAACUUCGUG